rnacentral:rRNA from 1 species
CCUACGGGUGGCAGCAGUGGGGGAUAUUGCACAAUGGGGGGAACCCUGAUGCAGCGACGCCGCGUGGGUGAAGAAGCGCCUCGGCGCGUAAAGCCCUGUCAGCAGGGAAGAAAAUGACGGUACCUGAAGAAGCAGCCCCGGCUCACUACGUGCCAGCAGCCGCGGUAAUACGUAGGGGGCAAGCGUUAUCCGGAUUUACUGGGGGUAAAGGGGGCGCAGACGGCGAUGCAAGCCAGGAGGGAAAGCCCGGGGGCCAACCCCGGGACUGCUCUUGGAACUGCGUGGCUGGAGUGCAGGAGGGGCAGGCGGAAUGCCUGGUGUAGCGGUGAAAUGCGUAGAUAUCAGGAGGAACACCGGUGGCGAAGGCGGCCUGCUGGACUGCAACUGACGUUGAGGCCCGAAAGCGUGGGGAGCAAACAGGAUUAGAUACCCUUGUAGUC